rnacentral:rRNA from 1 species
GAGGCAGCAGUGGGGAAUAUUGCACAAUGGGCUCAAGCCUGAUGCAGCGACGCCGCGUGAGGGAUGACGGCCUUCGGGUUGUAAACCUCUUUCACCAGGGACGAAGCGUGAGUGACGGUACCUGGAGAAAAAACACCGGCCAACUACGUGCCAGCAGCCGCGGAUAAUACGUAGGGUGCCAGCGUUGUCCCGGAAUUACUGGGCGUAAAGAGCUCGUAGGCGGUUUGUCGCGUCGUCUGUGAAAUUCUGCAACUCAAUUGUAGGCGUGCAGGCGAUACGGGCAGACUUGAGUACUACAGGGGAGACUGGAAUUCCUGGUGUAGCGGUGAAAUGCGCAGAUAUCAGGAGGAACACCGGUGGCGAAGGCGGGUCUCUGGGUAGUAACUGACGCUGAGGAGCGAAAGCGUGGGUAGCGAACAGGAUUAGAUACCCUGGU